UACGUAGGGUCCGAGCGUUGUCCGGAAUUAUUGGGCGUAAAGAGCUCGUAGGCGGUUUGUCGCGUCUGCUGUGAAAACCUAAGGCUCAACCUUGGGCUUGCAGUGGGUACGGGCAGACUAGAGUGCGGUAGGGGGUGACUGGAAUUCCUGGUGUAGCGGUGGAAUGCGCAGAUAUCAGGAGGAACACCGAUGGCGAAGGCAGGUCACUGGGCCGCAACUGACGCUGAGGAGCGAAAAGCAUGGGGGAGCGAACAGGG
rnacentral:rRNA from 1 species